rnacentral:rRNA from 1 species
UACGUAGGGAGCGAGCGUUGUCCGGAUUCAUUGGGCGUAAAGAGCUCGUAGGCGGUCUGUCGCGUCGGCUGUGAAAACCCGGAGCUCAACUCCGGGCCUGCAGUCGAUACGGGCAGACUGGAGUUCGGCAGGGGAGACUGGAAUUCCUGGUGUAGCGGUGAAAUGCGCAGAUAUCAGGAGGAACACCGGUGGCGAAGGCGGGUCUCUGGGCCGAUACUGACGCUGAGGAGCGAAAGCGUGGGGAGCGAACAGG